GACGAACGCUGGCGGCGUGCUUAACACAUGCAAGUCGAACGGAAAGGCCCUGCUUUUGUGGGGUGCUCGAGUGGCGAACGGGUGAGUAACACGUGAGUAACCUGCCCUUGACUUUGGGAUAACUUCAGGAAACUGGGGCUAAUACCGGAUAGGAGCUCCUGCUGCAUGGUGGGGGUUGGAAAGUUUCGGCGGUUGGGGAUGGACUCGCGGCUUAUCAGCUUGUUGGUGGGGUAGUGGCUUACCAAGGCUUUGACGGGUAGCCGGCCUGAGAGGGUGACCGGCCACAUUGGGACUGAGAUACGGCCCGGACUCCUACGGGAGGCAGCAGUGGGGAAUAUUGCACAAUGGGCGGAAGCCUGAUGCAGCAACGCCGCGUGCGGGAUGACGGCCUUCGGGUUGUAAACCGCUUUCGCCUGUGACGAAGCGUGAGUGACGGUAAUGGGUAAAGAAGCACCGGCUAACCACGUG
rnacentral:rRNA from 1 species